rnacentral:sRNA from 1 species
CGGCGCAGGUGGUGGUUUCGAAGCUGAUGAUGAUAAAG